rnacentral:misc_RNA from 1 species
AUAUCAAAACGUUUUUCACAACGUUAACCCAAAUGUUGAACUGUAUCGGAAACGUUGGUGGUUUUUGGCUAAGUUUCCGCUAACGUUUCUUUGUUUUUACAUCAAAAUUUAGCUAUUUAUUUUAACCCAAUUUCACCUCGAUAUUCAUAUGUAUGAACUUAUCAUUUUUUGAUCCGAAAGGAUUGAAAAAAAUCAUACGAAACAUAAUA